rnacentral:rRNA from 1 species
CGCGUGACAUUAGCUAGUUGGAGGGGUAACGGCCCACCAAGGCUACGAUGUCUAGGGGCUCUGAGAGGAGAAUCCCCCACACUGGUACUGAGACACGGACCAGACUCCUACGGGAGGCAGCAGUAAGGAAUAUUGGUCAAUGGAGGGGACUCUGAACCAGCCAUGCCGCGUGCAGGAUGACUGCCCUAUGGGUUGUAAACUGCUUUUGUCAGGGAAUAAACCUUUCCAACGUGUAGAAAGCUGAAUGUACCUGAAGAAUAAGGAUCGGCUAACUCCGUGCCAGCAGCCGCGGUAAUACGGAGGAUCCAAGCGUUAUCCGGAUUUAUUGGGUUUAAAGGGUGCGUAGGCGGUCCUAUCAAGUCAGUGGUAGAAAGACGGCAGCUUAACUGUCGCAGUGCCUUUGAUACUGUAGGAACCCUUGAAUCUAUUUGAAGUGGAAUGUACCUGCGGAAUAAGACAAGUAGCGGUGAAAUGCAUAGAUAUGUCUUAGAACUCCGAUUGCGAAGGCAGCUCACUAAGUUAGUAUUGACGCUGAUGCACCGAAAGCGUGGGGAUCAAACAGGAUUAGAUACCCUGGUAGUCCACGCCCUAAACGAUGAUAACUCGAUGUUUGCGAUACACAGUAAGCGUCCAAGCGAAAGCGUUAAGUUAUCCACCUGGGGAGUACGGUCGCAAGAUUGAAACUCAAAGGAAUUGACGGGGGCCCGCACAAGCGGAGGAGCAUGUGGUUUAAUUCGAUGAUACGCGAGGAACCUUACCCGGGCUUGAAAGUUAGUGAAUGAUCCAGAGACGGAUCAGUCCUUCGGGACACGAAACUAGGUGCUGCAUGGCUGUCGUCAGCUCGUGCCGUGAGGUGUUGGGUUAAGUCCCGCAACGAGCGCAACCCCUAUGUUUAGUUGCCAGCACGUAAUGAUGGGGACUCUAAACAGACUGCCAGCGUAAGCUGUGAGGAAGGUGGGGACGACGUCAAGUCAUCAUGGCCCUUACGUCCGGGGCUACACACGUGCUACAAUGGACGGUACAGCGGGCAGCUACAUAGCAAUAUGAUGCUAAUCUCUAAAAGCCGUUCACAGUUCGGAUUGAGGUCUGCAACUCGACCUCAUGAAGUUGGAUUCGCUAGUAAUCGCGUAUCAGCAAUGACGCGGUGAAUACGUUCCCGGGCCUUGUACACACCGCCCGUCAAGCCAUGAAAGUUGGGGGUACCUAAAGCAUGUAACC